rnacentral:lncRNA from 1 species
ACAGAUUUUUCUGUUGUGGAGCAGAGAUAAGCAAGACGGCAGGGUGACAGGACCCUCCAGGCAGCUGUGUCCACCACUCUGAUGCUGUCUCCCUCAGCUGGGUCUUCAUCUCCAGCAGGGGGUCCAGCCAGGGUGACAGCAAGAGAUCCUCAGUCCCUGCCCUCUGGAGAAGUCCAUGAACCCACAGGAAGCCAAACAGCACAACAAAGGAAAGCCGGCUGCUCUCCUCUGGAAGCCCGUCUCAUUGUCAUCUGAGCUGGUGAGUGAGAGACUGUCCUAGUAGGCUCCUGGUGUCUUCACACUGCUGCCUCCAGUCGGUGAGUGGAACUCUGGCAACGCUUCCUCAGGCCCUCUCCAAGCCAGCUAGGACAGUUCCUUGGCCAAUAGGCAACUCCCAGAAACCACCCUCAGUUUUGAUACCAUACCUCUCAUUCUCCAUGAGGGCCUGGCCAUUCCUUGCUUUGAUACCUUCUUGGGAAGAUACUGCUUCUUUCUUAGCUCAGUAGAGCCCUUUCUUUCUGCUGUUUAAACUGUGCUUUAUGGUCAUUACUGAUUUAACUAUGUCCUAGACCAGACAGGAACAGGUGUGUGAGGGCAACCUGUGUAUUUGUCUUACUCCUUUUGGGAGUCCCAGACUUUGGUAUAGUGUCCUUGGCUAGGAGGCACUCAAUAAAUGGUGACUGGGUGAAUUAGUCAAAGCAAAAGUUUCAGAGUUGGGG